rnacentral:ncRNA from 2 species
GCGUGAUUUUUAGAUACGGGUUAGGGAAAUCCGUGAAACGGAUGCGGUCCCGCCGCUGUAGGGGUGGACGAAAGCUGCAAAAGUCACUGUUCUGCGCCGAGUAAACUAAGCGCGGAGCGGGAAGACGCGGCCGGUAGGAUGAGGCCCCAAGCCAGAAGACCUGCCUGUAAAAAUAUAUAAUG